UACAGAGGGGGCAAGCGUUGUUCGGAAUUACUGGGCGUAAAGGGCGCGUAGGCGGCCCUCUAAGUCGGACGUGAAAUCCCUCGGCUCAACCGGGGAACUGCGUCCGAUACUGGUGGGCUCGAAUCCGGGAGAGGGAUGUGGAAUUCCAGGUGUAGCGGUGAAAUGCGUAGAUAUCUGGAGGAACACCGGUGGCGAAGGCGGCAUCCUGGACCGGUAUUGACGCUGAUGCGCGAAAGCCAGGGGAGCAAACGGG
rnacentral:rRNA from 1 species